rnacentral:rRNA from 1 species
CCCUGAGAGAACUCAGGAGAAGGAACUCGGCAAAUUGACACCGUAACUUCGGAAGAAGGUGUGCCUUUAGUAGGUGAACCUGUACAAGGGGAGCCCAAUGAGGUUGCAAAAAAUCGGUGGCUGCGACUGUUUAAUAAAAACACAGCACUCUGCAAACACGAAAGUGGACGUAUAGGGUGUGACGCCUGCCCGGUGCUGGAAGAUUAAAUGAUGGGGUGCAAGCUCUUGAUUGAAGUCCCAGUAAACGGCGGCCGUAACUAUAACGGUCCUAAGGUAGCGAAAUUCCUUGUCGGGUAAGUUCCGACCUGCACGAAUGGCGUAACGAUGGCCACACUGUCUCCUCCUGAGACUCAGCGAAGUUGAAAUGUUUGUGAUGAUGCAAUCUCCCCGCGGAAAGACGGAAAGACCCCAUGAACCUUUACUGUAGCUUUGUAUUGGACUUUGAACAGAUCUGUGUAGGAUAGGUGGGAGGCUUUGAAGUGUGGUCGCUAGAUCGCAUGGAGCCAACGUUGAAAUACCACCCUGGUGUGUUUGAGGUUCUAACCUAGGCCCGUAAUCCGGGUCGGGGACAGUGCAUGGUAGGCAGUUUGACUGGGGCGGUCUCCUCCCAAAGCGUAACGGAGGAGUUCGAAGGUACGCUAGGUACGGUCGGACAUCGUGCUAAUAGUGCAAUGGCAUAAGCGUGCUUAACUGCGAGACUGACAAGUCGAGCAGAUGCGAAAGCAGGACAUAGUGAUCCGGUGGUUCUGUAUGGAAGGGCCAUCGCUCAACGGAUAAAAGGUACUCUGGGGAUAACAGGCUGAUACCGCCCAAGAGUUCAUAUCGACGGCGGUGUUUGGCACCUCGAUGUCGGCUCAUCUCAUCCUGGGGCUGUAGCCGGUCCCAAGGGUAUGGCUGUUCGCCAUUUAAAGAGGUACGUGAGCUGGGUUUAAAACGUCGUGAGACAGUUUGGUCCCUAUCUUCCGUGGGCGCUGCAGAUUUGAGGAAGCCUGCUCCUAGUACGAGAGGACCGGAGUGGACACACCUCUGGUGUAUCGGUUGUCACGCCAGUGGCAUUGCCGAGUAGCUAUGUGUGGAAGAGAUAACCGCUGAAAGCAUCUAAGCGGGAAACUCGUUUCAAGAUGAGAUCUGCCGGGGCCUUGAGCCCCCUAAAGAGUCGUUCAAGACCAGGACGUUGAUAGGUCGGGUGUGGAAGCGCAGUAAUGCGUUAAGCUAACCGAUACUAAUUGCUCGUGCGGCUUGACC